rnacentral:rRNA from 1 species
GACAGAGGGGGCAAGCGUUGCUCGGAAUCACUGGGCGUAAAGGGCGCGUAGGCGGGAUGGCAAGUCAGUCGUGAAAUCUCUCGGCUCAACCGAGAAACGUCGGCUGAUACUGCCGUUCUUGAGGGAUGCAGAGGAGACUGGAAUUCCCGGUGUAGCGGUGAAAUGUGUAGAGAUCGGGAGGAACACCCGUAGCGAAGGCGGCACUCUGGGCCGGUACUGACGCUGAGGAGCGAAAGCGUGGGGAGCGAACAGG